rnacentral:ncRNA from 1 species
UACAUUUGCACAGAAUUUUUCAAUUCAAAAACAUACAUAACAAUCAUUUAAAUAAUAUUAGCAUG